rnacentral:lncRNA from 1 species
UUUGUAUUGUUUUAUUUAGCAAGAAAGUAUAAUAAACACCUAAUUUUAGAAGCUCAACAUUUAUGUAUUAAACGAUGACAUACAGCAGUGUCUUUGGAAGCAGUGAAAUCUAUGAAGUGCUGAACAUGCUGUCAAGAAAAGCAUACACAAUCUUUCCAGAGAGCGCAGUUCUGCUGCACACAAGUUACAGGGGACAGAAUCAAACACUAUGGCCUGUGAUACCAAAAAAAUUGCUAUUAAAUGACCCAGUUAUCUUUUACGAGAACUCACAUCAAGAUCUGGAGAGGGACUUCUGACAAGUUUCUCUCACAGGGAGUGACAGGACAAGAGGGAAUGACUUUAACUGAAGGAGGGUACCUUAGAUACUGGAAAGGAAUUAUUUACUGUGAGGGUAGUGAGACCAGUGCACAAGCUGCCCAGAGAAGCUGUAGAUGCUCCAUUCCUGAAGUGUUCAAGGCCAGGCUGGCUGGGGCUUGAACAACCUGGUCUAGUCAAAGGUGUCACCACUCACGGGCAGGGGCAUUGAAACGAGAUGAUCUUUAGGGUCCCUUCCAACCCAAACCACCCUGUGAUUCUAAGUUGUCCUUACACAGCAAUUUGGUUCAGGUAGCAAAGCUUGGCCAGGGCAUAACUAGGCAAACAAUUCCAGCAAGUUCAGUCGACUUCAGCAGCAAACUCCACCUGCCCUGGCAGCUGCGUGGGCUGGAGGCUGCAACCUUUCUGGACACCAGGUGAGUCCCAUGUGCUCAUGUUUUGCAUCCCUCAGCCUAAAACCAGAAUUUAUGGAGGGUGUGCAAGGGGAAGGCAGGCAACAAUCGCCUGCAGGAAACAGAAUCACAGAAUACCCACAGCUGGCAGGACCAUAGAGUCCAACUCCCGGCCCUGCAGACGGCAGCCCCAAGAACACACCGUGUGCCUGUGAGCACGACUCAAACACUCCUUGCACUCUGCCAGGCUUGGUGCUGUGACCAUUCCCUGGGGAGUCUGUCCCAGCACCUGAACACCCUCUGGGCGAAGAACCGUUUCCUAGUACCUAAUAUCCCACCUAAAUUUGCCCUGACACAACUUCAGGCCAUUAACCACGCGGCUCUGGCCGAGUCCUGCUAACUUUAAGGCUCUCACCCUCACAAAAUCACAGAACUGUCAAGAGUUGGAACGGACCUCUGGUCCAACCCCUCUGCCAAGGCAGGGUCAGCUACUGCAGGGGCACAGGUACGCAGGCUCAGCUAGUGCAGGGGACACAGGUCCAGAUGGGAGCCACAGGCAGGCAGACCCACCGUGCCAAACCCGAUCGGCUCCAUUCCCGUUCCCGUUCCCAUUCCCAGGCCUGCUCCACAAGGGCGCCCCGCGGCCCCGCCCGCUGCCGCACCCGGAUGUACCGACCUCCCCCC